rnacentral:tRNA from 1 species
GGGCAGGUAGUUCAGUGGUAGAACGCCGUUCUGAUAAAACGGAGGUCGAAGGUUCGAUCCCUUCCCUGCCCA